rnacentral:rRNA from 1 species
AUUGAACGCCGGCGGUAUGCUUAACACAUGCAAGUCGAACGGAAACGAUGGAAGCUUGCUUCCAGGCGUCGAGUGGCGGACGGGUGAGUAACGCGUAGGAAUCUGCCCAGUAGUGGGGGACAACUCGGGGAAACCCGAGCUAAUACCGCAUAAUCCCUACGGGGAAAAGGAGGCCUCUUCUUGAAAGCUUUCGCUAUUGGAUGAGCCUGCGUGAGAUUAGCUAGUUGGUAGGGUAAAGGCCUACCAAGGCGACGAUCUCUAGCUGGUCUGAGAGGACGAUCAGCCACACUGGGACUGAGACACGGCCCAGACUCCUNACGGGAGGCAGCAGUGGGGAAUAUUGGACAAUGGGGGCAACCCUGAUCCAGCAAUACCGCGUGUGUGAAGAAGGCCUUAGGGUUGUAAAGCACUUUCAGCAGUGAAGAAAAGCUUAAGGUUAAUACCCUUGAGUGUUGACGUUAACUGCACAAGAAGCUCCGCUAACU